UCUCUCUCUCUCUUUGUGCUCCUUGAGAGAUUCAUCAGAGGAAGAUGGACAGAUUGAGUUGCACGAAUGCGAGGUUACGAGACCGAGGAGUGAAAAAGGAUCGAGAUCAUGGAUCGGGAUCGAGACAAGGAUCGGGACUGAGACUGGUCGAAUCGAAGCAAGAGGAGAAGACGAGAUCAUGAAUACUGGGUUUCUAGUAAUUGAGUUGUUAUGGUAGCGAAGGGAUUCUAAUUUAUGGAUCAAAGGGCAAAGCUCCUCCUAAGAUGCGGACAUUCUUUUUGUUACAACUGCGGAUCUCCUCUAAUAGCCCACUACUGUAGUAAAUGUAAGCAUCAAGUCCUCAUAGAUGCCAGCCUUUAUGUAUUCAUGAAACUUCUGUUUUCAAUCUGCUACAGGACAUAGUGAUGGAAGCAGCCAUCUUAACGAAUGUAUAUGGCAGUGUCGUGGCCAUAGGACUCAAUGUUCACACAAGGCUGGCAUUUUGUCUGGAGAUGUUAUCUGAAAAUUGAUGACACAAGUACAGAAACCAUGGACAUAUAUGAUGCAGCAGAGUGCUUGCA